GAUGAACGCUGGCGGUCUGCUUAACACAUGCAAGUCGAACGAACUCUUCGGAGUGAGUGGCGGACGGGUGAGUAACGCGUGAGAAUCUGCCUGUGGGUCGGGACAACCACUGGAAACGGUGGCUAAUACCGGAUGAGCCGAAAGGUAAAAGAUUUAUUGCCCACAGAUGAGCUCGCGUCUGAUUAGCUAGUUGGUAAGGUAAAAGCGUACCAAGGCGACGAUCAGUAGCUGGUCUGAGAGGAUGAGCAGCCACACUGGGACUGAGACACGGCCCAGACUCCUACGGGAGCAGCAGUGGGAAUUUUCCGCAAUGGGCGAAAGCCUGACGGAGCAAGACCGCGUGGGGGAGGAAGGCCUUAGGGUCGUAAAGCUCUUUCGCCUGUGAAGAUAAUGACGGUAGCAGGUAAAGAACCCCCGGCUACUCCGUGCCAGCCGCCGCGGUAA
rnacentral:rRNA from 1 species